GAUGAACGCUAGCGGCAGGCCUAAUACAUGCAAGCCGAACGGCAAGGUUUUCAGCAAUGGGAACCCUAGAGUGGUGUAAGGGUGCGUAACACGUAUGCAAUCUACCCUUAACAGGCGGAUAGGUCCCCGAAAGGGGAAUUAAGCCGCCAUAGGAAUUUUGGAUGGCAUCAUUUGAAAUUUAAACUACGGUGGUUAAGGAUGAGCAUGCGCAUGAUUAGUUAGUUGGCGGGGUAACGGCCCACCAAGACUUUGAUCAUUAGGGGAACUGAGAGGUUGGUCCCCCANACUGGCACUGAGAUACGGGCCAGACUCCUACGGGAGGCAGCAGUAGGGAAUAUUGGACAAUGGGUGAGAGCCUGAUCCAGCCAUGCCGCGUGCAGGAAGAAGGCCUUC
rnacentral:rRNA from 1 species